UGUGAAGCAACCUAUAUUUCCCUCACUCCAAAAAUAUGCAAAUAAUUCUCAUAAAUUGUUUGGGUCAUAUCUUGAUCAAAUAUGGCAAAACUUUUCAUUGCAAUGUUCAAAAAUAAUUCCCCAAUGGCAAAACUUUUCAUUGCAAUGAUCAAAUAUGGCACUUUGUGAAGGAAGUGUCAGUUAUAUUUCUCCUAUUAACUCCCAACCUUUUUGGGCAUGUUUAUAUGUCCAAAUAAUUGCCUCAUGCACAAGUUCAAAUUUAUUUGCCUAGCCAAUCUUCCUCAGUGAUUUUUCAAAGUUUCUGUCAGACAGAAAGCUUUGUGAAGGGAGUACUAGCUAGGAGUACACAAAUGAGAUGAACUUUUGCACACUCCUUAAUGUGCUCAUAUUAACCCCUUCCACCCAUUUGCAUCCCCAUCCAAUUAUCUAUGUGAGCACAGGAGCAAAUCUUUGAUUCUGGCAAUAUUUUCAGGUUGUGAAGCAAGUGCAUUUUAUAUUGCUUCAAAAAUCCUGAUAAAUUACCAGAUCAUUAUUCUACCCAUAAAACAUCUCUCCACCCAAUUUGGCAUCAUUUCAUUGACCAUUUGAUCACCAAUAUUAUUUCAAGUUUCUGUCUAGAGAAGAUGUUUGUGAAGCAAGUACCAUUUUUUGGCUUUGCCAAAUGGUAUGAUACUUGGUGAGCAUCUUCAUAUGACCAAAUGACUAAGCUUUGCCCAAUAUUAGCUCAAGUUGACACUCCAUGUGAGUGCACCAUCAUGAUCUUCAUUCCUGGACCAAAUAUGCAGUUGUGAAGCAACUGCAGUAAAUCUUGAUCCUUUUACCCUCAAAACCUCCAGGAUGAAAUUCCUUCGAUAGAUAAACCUCUCAGACAAGUUAUUUACUGAGUUACCUAGCUGGUGUCCCCACUGCACAACACAAACACUUGGCUGCUGGUUUACUUUGGAGCGAAGUGCAAAUCUCUUCUUUGCCCCUGGAAUUAUUUAUUUCCUCAAUCAUACUUAGGUCACUAGGGUCAUUCCACUGGACAUGGUCGGCCCGGCUAGAACGAGCUAUUUGCACCAGUGCGCAUGGUGAUCACGCUUGCGUCAUGCAGAAUGCGCGCUCUGGCUUCUUCCCGGCCCUGUGCCCGUCGUCUCCCUCGUCGUCUCGACCUCCAUCCAUGUCUAGUAGCUGUCCCGUGAUGCCCUGCAUCGCCCUACGUCGAUGGCUCGUCGUGGUGCGCCAUGAAUGCGUCGCUAGGUCCAUGCCCGUGCCAUGCCCAGCCACUGCCCUCCAUUAAUGCUUGGUCGGGAGCUCGUCCGUGAGCUCUAGAGGCCUCCUCCGCGCCUAUAUAAGGACCCCAAGCCAUCCCUCAGGUCCCAAGCCCCUCCUCGUCCCUCCAAGCCCACCGGAGCAACGACAUCUCGCCGGAGUUCGCCUCUGUUCGCCUCGGCCGCCGCGGUUCCUCCUUGGUUCCGGCGAGAUCGAGCAUCCUAUCCUCCCCUGGUGUUGUCCACGAGCUCCUCCACCUCCUCGCGGUUCGCCCAAACCACUUGCCCCCUCGCCGGAGUGCCUCUGGCCGCGUCUCCCGGAGCUCGGCCGCCGCCUCCGCCGUUCGGCCUCCAGCUCGUCCGGCCGUCUCGAGCCUCCUCGUGCUUCCCCAACUCCCCCAUCGUCUUCCCCUCGUCCCGUAGAGCCGCCCCACCCCCUCAGCAUCGCCAGAGACGGCCACACCACCGUCAACCACCACCGGCGCCCGCCUUCUGUCCUCCUCAUGGCGCCGCCCACCGCCGCCGUCUCAGGCCUCCCCGGCGACCCCUUCCCCUCUGAACGGGUGCGGCGCUGCCCCGCGGCCCCGCCGGUGUGCUCGGCCGGGCAGGAGCUCGCCGGAGUCGGCCGGCCCCUGCCUCCUCUGUUCCGCUUGGGACCGAGCACGGGAAGAAGAAGACAGGGGCGUUCCAGCUGGCCAGGCGGGCCCCAUCCCCUGCGCGUGGACCCCACCCGUAAGCCUCCAAGCCGCCGGCCCCGCGUUGACCAGUCCACGCUGACGUGGAUAAGUGAAACGUAUUCCGCGGAAUAAGUUUUCGCUGACCGAAAGCGUGUUUCUGUUUUGCGCUUCUGUCUUAUCCACUCAGGGACUUAUUUGUGGUGAAAUUUUUGAAGAAAAGUCCCUAAACUUCAAGUCUUCAUAACUUUUUAUCCGUAACUCCAAAUGAGCCCCCUCCGAGAGAGAACGUUUUCCGGCGAUUCGUUCCGCGAGUUUCUGACACUUCUCCCCGGUGCCUUCUUCAUCCCCAGGCAAGCCACAAUACCCACUUGCAUCAUAGUCAUGCAGUAGUCAUGGUUUUCAACUUGAAUAUUUAAUAAAUGUUUGCUUGUUGAAAAGAUGGUUAUCGUUGUUCCGGUGAUGUUUAGAUUUGCAUGUUCACUUUUGUGCUAUGUUGUCUUAUACUCUGUGAUCAUGUUAUACCUGCUAGUAUUACCUUUCAUAUGUUUAUGCUUGUUAGUGGUACAUGUUGAUGUUGAAGAUGGUCAUGCUAGUUACUAUGCGAUGCUCAGUGGAUAUGAUUUAUUGUUGAUAUGGUGGAAAGUUAUGUGAUACUCUCAUGAUGAUGUUGAUAUCAUGUUCAUGCA